UCUGAAUGGACUUCCUCCUCAGUCAGCGCCCUUAAAAUUUAACCUGAGAGACUGUUUCAGGGCAUGAUGGGAAGUGGGGGUCAAACAUGCCUCGUUAUACCUCUCUGGCAUUAACAUCAACACAGACUUUAAGUCUAAUAAGAAACAUUUUGCAACCUAUUCUCUCUGAAGCCUGCUAGCUAAAAGCUUCAUCUGCAUGAUAAAAC
rnacentral:lncRNA from 10 species